rnacentral:rRNA from 1 species
AUACGGAGGAUCCGAGCGUUAUCCGGAUUUAUUGGGUUUAAAGGGUGCGCAGGCGGCCAUUUAAGUCAGCGGUUAAAUCGUGGGGCUCAACCCCAUUCUGCCGUUGAUACUGGGUGGCUUGAUUGCGGUCGAGGUUGGCGGAAUUCGUUGUGUAGCGGUGAAAUGCAUAGAUAUGACGAAGAACACCGAUUGCGUAGGCAGCUGACCAGACCGCAAAUGACGCUCAUGCACGAAAGUGCGGGGAUCAAACAGGAUUAGAUACCCUGGUAGUCCGCACAGUAAACGAUGAAUACUUGUUUUCGGCGAUAUAAUGUCGGAGGCAAAGCGAAAGCGAUAAGUAUUCCACCUGGGGAGUACGCCGGCAACGGUGAAACUCAAAUGAAUUGACGGGG